rnacentral:rRNA from 1 species
GACGAACGCUGGCGGCGUGCUUAACACAUGCAAGUCGAACGAUGAAGAAGAGAAACGCGAACUUCGGUUCAAAUUUAACUUCGGAGUAGUGGCAGACGGGUGAGUAACGCGUUAGCAACCAACCUCUUACAACGGGAUAGCCUCGGGAAACCGUGAUUAAUACCAAAUGACACAUUCAUAAGGCAUCUUAAGAAUGUUAAAGGUACGGCGGUAAGAGAUGGGGUCGCGUCAUAUUAGCUUGUUGGUGAGGUAACGGCCAACCAAUGCGACGAUGCGUAACUGGGCGGAGAGGGGGAACGGUCAGAAUGGAACUGAGACACAGUCCAAACUGGUAGGGGAGGCAGCAGUAGGGAAUAUUGCACAAUGGAGGGAACUCUGAUGCAGCGACGCCGGGUGAGAGAUGAAGGAAUUCGUUUCGUAAAGCUCUGUUCUAUGGGAAGAAAAGGACUGUACCAUAGGAGAAAGCCCCGGCUAAAUACGUG